GGGUGCGUAGCUCAGUGGUAGAGUAUUGCCUUGACAUGGCAAGGGUCACAGGUUCAAGUCCUGUCGCACCCACCA
rnacentral:tRNA from 1 species